GCCCCGAUGGUGAAAUUGGUAGACACACCGGACUUAAAAUCCGUCGUCCGAAAGGAUGUGCCGGUUCGACUCCGGCUCGGGGCACCA
rnacentral:tRNA from 1 species